UACGUAGGGGGCAAGCGUUGUCCGGAAUCAUUGGGCGUAAAGAGCGUGUAGGCGGCCAGAUAAGUCCGCUGUGAAAUCUCGAGGCUCAACUUCGAGCUGUCGGUGGAAACUGUCUGGCUAGAGUCCGGAAGAGGAGAAUGGAAUUCCUGGUGUAGUGGUGAAAUGCGUAGAGAUCCGGAGGAACCCCAGAGGCGAAGGCGGCCCCCUGGCUCGUACCUGACGCUCAGCCACGAAAGCAUGGGGAGCGAACGGG
rnacentral:rRNA from 1 species